rnacentral:rRNA from 1 species
UACGAAGGGGGCUAGCGUUGCUCGGAAUCACUGGGCGUAAAGCGCACGUAGGCGGCUUUUUAAGUCAGGGGUGAAAUCCUGGAGCUCAACUCCAGAACUGCCUUUGAUACUGGCAAUCUCGAGUCCGGGAGAGGUGAGUGGAACUGCGAGUGUAGAGGUGAAAUUCGUAGAUAUUCGCAAGAACACCAGUGGCGAAGGCGGCUCACUGGCCCGGUACUGACGCUGAGGUGCGAAAGCGUGGGGAGCAAACAGG